rnacentral:rRNA from 1 species
ACGCUGGCGGCAGGCCUAACACAUGCAAGUCGAGCGGAAACGACACUAACAAUCCUUCGGGUGCGUUAAUGGGCGUCGAGCGGCGGACGGGUGAGUAAUGCCUAGGAAAUUGCCUUGAUGUGGGGGAUAACCAUUGGAAACGAUGGCUAAUACCGCAUAAUGCCUACGGGYCAAAGAGGGGGAYCUUCGGRCCUCUCGCGUCAAGAUAUGCCUAGGUGGGAUUAGCUAGUUGGUGAGGUAAUGGCUCACCAAGGCGACGAUCCCUAGCUGGUCUGAGAGGAUGAUCAGCCACACUGGAACUGAGACACGGUCCAGACUCCUACGGGAGGCAGCAGUGGGGAAUAUUGCACAAUGGGCGAAAGCCUGAUGCAGCCAUGCCGCGUGUAUGAAGAAGGCCUUCGGGUUGUAAAGUACUUUCAGUUGUGAGGAAGGGKGURWMGUUAAUAGCKKYAUCUCUUGACGUUAGCAACAGAAGAAGCACCGGCUAACUCCGUGCCAGCAGCCGCGGUAAUACGGAGGGUGCGAGCGUUAAUCGGAAUUACUGGGCGUAAAGCGCAUGCAGGUGGUUCAUUAAGUCAGAUGUGAAAGCCCGGGGCUCAACCUCGGAACUGCAUUUGAAACUGGUGAACUAGAGUGCUGUAGAGGGGGGUAGAAUUUCAGGUGUAGCGGUGAAAUGCGUAGAGAUCUGAAGGAAUACCAGUGGCGAAGGCGGCCCCCUGGACA